rnacentral:rRNA from 1 species
AUGUCGCCUGCUCUACUGCUCCAUGGUUCUGAGCUCCCAUCACCAUCACCUCCUUCCGCUUUUUGUUGCCUUCUCCCCCAAGCUCGGCAGAGGGGCGCCAGAACUCAAGAUUAUCGCUUCAAGAUCUCCCGAUUUGGAUUUGGGGUGAAGUACUCUGGAUUUCUGCAUUUAGACCAGUGCCCCGUGCACGCGAAGUAA